UAUAUAGAUAGAUAGAUACUAUUAUGUUUGACAAACAUAAUGUCGAAGAAAUACGGCCACACGCUGAAGCGGCAGCACUUUUUACCGCUGCAGCUGAAGGUGCUGCUUAAAUUGCCUCAAAUCGGCAGCUGUCGCAGCACCCACUUGCCUCGAGAUUGGCAGCUGCUGCAGCCCUACUUCCAGCAUCUCCCACCUCAACCAGAAGUACGACGAUGACCUGCCACUGCAAACGAAUGUGCUAGCACUUCCUGUCAUUCUGAACGGUAUGACUCAUAAUUUUUCCUGCAUGCACACAUUCAUAGAUUUGUUACACGCUUGUUCUCCUGUCUCUCACCCAAAAAGUUGUCAAAACGUACGCCUUUUCACCAUAGCAUGUGACAGAAAAAAAAUCUGUAAAUAUUUGCCAACAUUAUCCCUUUCCUUUGAAAUAAAAAAAGCGUAUCCUUAAAAUAAAGAAGUAACUACACCUAAUAAUUAUGCAUUUAUGGUUCCAAGCAGAAGAGCAUAUGUAGUGUAAAUGUUUUCUGGAGAAUAACAUCCUAAAUGUUUUAAUAUUUCAGGCAGGACACUUCCUCAUAAUCACUGAAAGGAAAAAAGGCGAGGUUUGGACUCUGGUUUCGUUUCUCGUCUAAAUAGCUCCUUGAAAUUUUAGAAAUGGCAUGUCCCAUCUGCUGCUUCUGACAUGUAUGUUUCUAUUUUCAUAGGGGUGGUGAGCAUUUCUCUGAAGGUUCAGGAGAUGGACAUCAGCUCAGAGGAGACCAAGCUCCAGCAGUUAGAACCAAGAUGUGUCCUUGAGCCCAUUUUGUUUGGAAAUAGGCCUCCCAGCCUAUGAUGAAAUGUGGAAUGCUGGCAGAGGACGACUUCUUGGGAACCAAUAUCGUACCGUCUGGAAGCAAGUUAUACAAAGAUCUGUCAACUUUUCAAAAUUAUAGAAAUGGGCAAUCAACAUAUUCCAGAAUAUAGAACAAAUACUGUGUGGAGUUCUUGAAUGAUAGCAGAGAUGCAAUCAUCACCGAGCUUCAGCCCAAUGGACUUUGGAGAUGAUCUGAUGGACAGUCCUGGAUUCUGUGCUCUGUGCUGUACCUACGCUGUCAUGGAAAAUAACUUGCCCAAAAAUAUUAGAUAUGUUCAACAUGGACAAUUCUAAGACAUCCUGAAAUUAUGUUAUAAUGCUGAAAUAUUUGUAUGCAUUCUGAUUUCUAAGGACAGUUUUGUCAAAAUUAGAUUUUGGGUUGUUUGUGAAUUUAAAUGAUUAUCUACACUAAAUGUGAGCUCCUUGUUGAAGGACAGCCACAAGAUUGGACUGACACAUGAGACUAAACCACUCAUAAAUCCUGCAAAUAAAAUGUUUAAUUAAAUACGUUAAAUUUGUUUCAUAUGUCUUCUUUCAAAAAUAUACAAUCUAUGAACAAGUGUUGUAGGGCACUGGACAGAUGUAAAAAAAUGUCACUCUUUGAUUAUUUCUGAGUUGUAACGGGAAAUGAGAAGGCACUGCUCAUUUACUUUACAAUUGAACAGUAAUGACAUUUUAAAAGUAACAUGCAAGCACUCUGCAUUGUCAACUGCGCAGUCAAUCAAAAAACCUUGAGUUGUGUAUGACAAAUUUUGUACUCGGCUGCGAUGUCUUUUUCGGACUUGAGCAAAAAAUAUUGCAGCACGGCUGACAUCAGUCUUGCUUCUUGCUACUUCGUGAAGAAAUGGUUCAGAUGUAAAUCUCUCCCAUCCAAAUAGUUCUGAGUUUGC